UCUCGAUAGCGUAAAAGUUAACUCAUUUUUGUAUAGAGUUGGAACGUAUGCUUAGGUUUCCCGCUAGGGGCGCUGUUCCAACUGCAUACAAAUUUGAAUAAACUUUUACGCUAUAAA
rnacentral:pre_miRNA from 9 species